GCCUGGGUGGUUCAGUUGGUUAAGUGUCCAACUCUUGAUUUUGGCUCAAGUUAUGAUCUCAUGGUUUGUGGGUUCAAGCCCCACAUCAGGCU
rfam:Felis catus isolate Cinnamon breed Abyssinian chromosome B4, whole genome shotgun sequence.